rnacentral:rRNA from 1 species
GACGUAGGGCGCGAGCGUUGUCCGGAUUUAUUGGGCGGAAAGAGCUCGUAGGCGGCUUGUUGCGUCAGCUGUGAAAACCCGCAGCUCAACUGUGGGCUUGCAGCUGAUACGGGCAGACUAGAGGUAGGUAGGGGAGAAUGGAAUUCCUGGUGUAGCGGUGAAAUGCGCAGAUAUCAGGAGGAACACCGGUGGCGAAGGCGGUUCUCUGGGCCUUACCUGACACUGAGGAGCGAAAGCCAGGGGAGCAAACGGG